CAGUAUGAGCCAGCCAGCACUAGUCAAGUUAUUAAGUGACUGUAACCAGGGCAUUUUUUUCCAAGAUUGUAACAUCCUGCAGCUCAGUUUCUGAGAGCCAAACAAGCAUUGAUUCCUGCAUUUCUGAAGACCUCCAGAUCUAGACUACUGUUGAAAAAUUUCCAGUGAGAAAUGGCAAAUCAACGUGGGAGGAUUAUUCUGCUUAAAGUAUUAUAUGAAAUCAAUGCUGAUCAUUUUAAGAUGAUUAAGUUCUUACUGUCUGGUGCUUUAAAUCUGACUGAAAAAAUGCAAGAAGAAUAUGACAAAGUUCAGAUUGCUAACUUGUUGGUAAAAAGGUUCCCACGUGAUGCCGGUGUGGACAAACUUAUACAACUCUGCAAAGAUAUACCAGCAUUCCAAGGAUUUGUUAAAACUCUUAAAGAAGAAAAGUCAAAAGUUGUGAAAAAAGUUAAAUCCACACCAGAAAAAGGAACACCCUCAAAAAAGAGCAAGCAGAAAGAAGAGGGUCCUUCUACACCUGCCCCCUCCACAAGCAAAGUUCUCACACAUGAAGGAGCAGAGGUGACUCCUGGACCUCAGAAAAGAAAAAACACAGCCAAAAGAAAGGACGGGACUAAAAGGAGUAAGGUGUCGGAGGAGCAGACUCAAUCUCCAUGUCUUGCCGGAGCCAGCACAUCCACAAGCAUGGGCCGUCUCCCACCUCCCCAGACCUCAUCAGCUCCAUCCAACACUUUCCCACCUGAGAUCCCAAAACCACCGGCCACCUCUCAGACAACCACUAGAAAACUUGAUCUCCAAAAGGGCCCGAUGGUGGUGAUGGUGCUGAGUGCAGCAGAUCCAUUUGCAUAUGAGUCCUCAGAAAAGGAGACCAAAAAAAUGUUUCAUGCUACGGUGGCUACAGAGAAACAGUUCUUUCAUAUGAAGGUUUUCAACAUCAAGUUGAAGAGAAUAUUCACCAGAAAGAGAAUCAUCACCAUAUCAGAUUAUUUUGAAUAUGACCAUCUCCUAGAGGUGAAUGAAGCCUCUUCUGUAUCUGAAGCUGGUCCUGACCAAAAGAUUGAGGUUCCAAACAACGUCAUGAACAGAGCAAAGGAAACCCUGCCGAUAGAUAUUAUUAAAACGCAAGCUUCUGGGACUAUUGUAUAUGGAUUAUUUACACUACGUACGAAAACAGUAAAUAAGAACAACACAAUCUAUGAAAUCCAUGAUAAUGAAGGAGAAAUUGAAGUAGUGGGGAAGGGAAAAUGUCACAAUAUUCCCUGUGAGGAAGGAGAUAAACUUCAACUUUUCUGCUUUCGACUGAGAAAAAAGAAACCGACAUCAAAACUGAUUUCUGAAAUACAUAGUUUCAUUCAGGUAAAGACAAAAGCAAACCAGAGAAAAUCUGAUUUGAAAACCAUGAAACCUCCCGAGGAGCAGAGUGAGGCUCCAAAACAUUCAGAGGCUGGCACAACCCUGACUCAGAACCAUCCCCAGAUUCCUCAUAUGGCUCGAGCGGCCCCAUCAAGCACUUUCUUAUUUAAGAAGGAAGCACCCAUUCCAGGAGCAGAAACAUCCUCUGCAAGCUUCAGAGGCAGCACAUCAACUGCACCCUAUGGUUAUUUUUACAUGCCAUAUCAAGGAAUCCGGUCGGACAGUUUCUUUAACAAGUGGAAACAUGCAAUGAUUUAAUGGAAGAGCUCUGCUUUACUCACUGGGACAGGAUUUAAAGCAACAUCACUGGUGGGCAGACACAGAUUUUGCUAGCAAGACAGCUGCUGCGGAAAAGUUCCUGUGCUACCCAGGAGCAGAAAUCCUGAUUGUGAAUAAAAUUGAAUCUACACCAACAAAAGGAACAACCCUCUCAAAAAAGAGCAAGAAGAAAGAAGAGGGUCCUGCCACACCUGCCCCCUCCACAAGCACAUUUCUCACAUCUGAAGGAGCAGAGGUGACUCCUGGACCUCAGGUAAGA